rnacentral:lncRNA from 1 species
ACCGCCUCCAAGCUACAGCGGCGCCGCCGAAGCCAAGAGCGGCGCCUUCCGCAGAGGGACUGCGGCUUCCUGCGCAGCGCCCCCUACCGGACAGGCGGCGGGAAAACGCCGCGCAACUCAGACCACUGGAGCGGAGUAGUAUCUGGAGUUUCUGUAACAUCCUUUCCCUUUUUUUUUUUUUUUAAAGCCAGAGCCUCUGUCGCCCAGGCUGCAGUACAGUGGCGUAAUCUCAGCUCACUGCAACCUCUGCCUCCCGGGAUCAAGCGAUUCUCCUUCCUCAGCCUCCCGAGUAGCUGGGAUUACAGGUUCAAGAGAUUCUUCUGCCUCAGCCUCCCAAGUAGCUGGCACUGCAGACACGCACCACCACACCCAGGCUACACAGAACAACAUCAUUAGCAACAUUGUUUCAGCAAGGAAAUAAUCCUUAUUGGCAAAGGGAAACCAAGGAAAGAAAACUAUUGUUUUCUUCGGCUACAUGCUGUCUGCAAAGCACCCCAUGGAUUCAAUUUCUCAUCAAUUCAGAAUGGAAUACUAACGUGCUGCCUAGAGAUACAGAAGUGGGAUGAACGCAGGGCCUUACUCAGCAUUCAGAACAAAACUGAUGGUGCUAGCAUAUAUAAGACUGAAACACCAAAGUCCUCCGUGGAAGUUAAUGAAUUUCUAAUAGUGAAAUAAGGUGGCCAAGGAGGCAGAGAUGGAGUCAGGGACUCUGUGAUCAACCCUGAGGAUUGGGAAGGAACUAUACAUACCAGGAGGCAAGGAGCACUGGGGGCCCUCCUGGAACUGCCUGUCACAGCGUCCUCAAAGGUUUUCACUCUCCUAGGAUGACCCAGGUAUAGAAUCUGCCCCUAUGGUUCGGCUCCACCCUCUCACCUGUCUCUUGAGAGCAUUGUGAAAUUCUGAGACACAGCAAGGACAGAAACAGAGGGCAUGGAAGAUGCUUUCAGAGAUCAGAUCCAGAGCCUGACAAGUUUAUUUACUUGGAGAAGCAGAUUCUAGGUUCUAGAAAAGAAGGCUGAAAAUACAACUUUAAGGGAAAGGAUAAUCUGAUGACUAAUUCUCAUUUAUCAAAAAGCCACUUUGCCUUAGAUCUAUCUGUAUAAACUCCAUGCUUCACAGUAAAAUCCUUCUAACUUUAUUGAAAAAAGGGGGCCACCUAGCAAAUAACACCAAGAGUAUUAUUUCUGGGGUUCAGUUAACCCAAAGACAAUUAUUUAUCUUACUAAAAUCCAUUUCUAGGUCUAUAAACCUAUUGUGUAGUACAUAAAUACAUAGGCUUUAGUCCUAGAUAGUUGGAGCAGAUCCUGGCUAUACCAAUUGUUAGCCAUAAGCCACGAUCAAUGUACUUAACUUCUCCAAGUUUCUCAUCUUUAGAAUGGGGAUAAUAGUGCUAUUUACUUUAUAUAAUUAUUGGGAGGAGGAAAUGGCUUCAUAAAUAUAAAGAACUUAGCAUAGUGAAUGCCACAUAAUAAACCCUAAAUAAUUGUAGCAACUGCUUUUAUUAGGAAGUCUUCCAGAUCUUUGUAAUCUUUGUCCAGUUGUCAUCACAGGCAGAAAUAAAAGAAUAAAAAAUUUCCACUGAGAAUUACGCUAAUUAUAUAAACAUAAUGCAUAUUCUAUGAAACUAACAUUCUCAGAGGUAAUUAUACAAUUUUAGGAGAAAACAUUAUUUUAAAAUUUACCAGUAAAGCACUAUUAUAAAUAUCAAUAAAAAACAUUAUUUUAAAAUUUACCAGUAAAACAUUGUUAUAAAUAUCAAUAAAAUAUUGUCCAACCUACUGAAACAUUUAGAACGUUCUCUUCACUUUUCAUAGCCAUGGACUAUGAAAGUGUUAUGGCAUAUUAUAUGUUUUUUGUUAUAUUCAAAAAUAGUUUAUCCUUGGGAAAAUACUAACUGUGGAAGGAAAUUCUACAAAGUUAGUGACUGGAGGGAAUAAACCUAAUGCAUAUGUUGAA